AUACCCGCAGCCCAAGUGGUGGUCGAUUUUAUUGAGUCUAAAACGUUCGUAGCCGGUUCAUUAAAUCCUUGGGUAAAUCGGAUGGCUUAACUAUCCGAAUUCCGGGGAGACUGGUGAACUUGGGACCGGGAGAGGCAAGAGGUACUUUUGGGGUAGGGGUAAAAUCCUGUAAUCCUAAAAGGACCACCGGUGGCGAAGGCGUCUUGCUAGAACGGAUCCGACGGUGAGGGACGAAGCCCUGGGUCGCAAACGGGAUUAGAUACCCCGGUAGUCCAGGGUGUAAACGCUGCAGACUUGGUGUUGGGGACCCUUCGGGGGUGUUCAGUGCCGGAGAGAAGUUGUUAAGUCUGCUACUUGGGGAGUACGUCCGCAAGGAUGAAACUUAAAGGAAUUGACGGGG
rnacentral:rRNA from 1 species